AUUGAACACUGGCGGCAGGCCUAACACAUGCAAGUCGAACGAGUGGCGGACGGGUGAGUAAUGCUUGGGAAUCUAGCUUAUGGAGGGGGAUAACUACGGGAAACUGUAGCUAAUACCGCGUACCAUAGGAUGAGCCCAAGUGGGAUUAGGUAGUUGGUGAGGUAAAGGCUCACCAAGCCGACGAUGUCUAGCUGGUCGGAGAGGAUGAUGAGCCACACUGCGACUGAGACAGGGCCCAGACUCCUACGGUAGGGAGCAGUGGGGAAUAUAGCACAAUGGGCGCAAUCCUGAUGCAGCCAUGCCGCGUGUCUGAAAAAGGCCUGAGGGUUGGAAAGUACGUUCAGCGGGGAGGCGUUCCCCCCAGCAGAAGCACCGGCUAACUCCGGGCCAGCCGCCGCGGUAAUAC
rnacentral:rRNA from 1 species